GUCAAAUGAGGUGUCUCCGUUUCCGCUCCUCGGGUUAUAAGUCAGAUCACAUUUUUUUUUCGAAAGCUCGCUUGUUGAAGUCUACUUUCUGUAUCACCAUGCAGUGCUAAAUCAGAACAUAUGCUGCCUCAGAGGAGAAAAAAAUGCUGAAGACUGGACGUACAACAGUAUAUGGGCGCCCCCUAGCGUUAGGAUUAUUUCUGGUCAAACUCGCUCUUUAAGGUGGAAGAGCCAUCUUAAAUGGAAACUACAUCGGUCGCUCGCCUCUCACAUACACCAAAGUAACACGCGCCUAUUUUAAUCUGAUUAAUGCUUUUGAGAUUUCCUUCUAAUUGACAUGGACGUUGCAGAGGUGCACUUGUAGGUCUCUUCCACACAUUUUCUCCACAGUGUUGUUCACGCACGGGAGUAUUGCAGCGUUUCGGUUAUUUUUGGGCAGUUUACUGAAACGGUAAAAAGUGAGCACCGUACCUCAUCUCUGACCAUUCAAAAGCCUGUAUGUGAACAAGACAGCCGAAAGCAAUACCGCAGACGUAAAUUAUAGCAUAGCCUACGAUGCAAAGUGGAUUUUAUCCCAAGAUCAAGACCUCUGCAGGACUGUGAUGCGGGCAGAGGACACGGCCACUGUGGGAACUGAAGACUACUGAGUGGUGACGUUGACAUCAACACCAAAUGCCUGAUGGGAGGAAAAGCAUCACGCAAAGAUCCCACAAUGACAAAGCAGGGAAGGCAAAAGGAUCAUUGGCUCAACUGACAACAAACUGCUUGAAAUCAACGACAUACAUAUUGUAAUUCUGCAAAUAAUGUUAUGAUGUAUGAUUAAAUAAUGCAACUGAACAAGAUGUAGCACUGUAUCUCUCUAGAGAAUGAUGCAAUGAAAAAAAAAAACUUUUCUUGAUGACAAUAGAAGACAUGUUUAAUUAUCAACUGUACAAUAAUUUCUGCCAAAAGCACAAGUAAAUAAACAUGGCUCCUGAAUGCAUGUUGUUUGUUUUUAUUGCAUAUCUAUCUAUCUAUCUAUCUAUCUAUCUAUCUAUCUAUCUAUCUAUCUAUCUAUCUAUCUAUCUAUCUAUCUAUCUAUCUAUCUAUC
ensembl:lncRNA